rnacentral:rRNA from 1 species
AGAGUUUGAUCAUGGCUCAGGAUGAACGCUAGCGGCAGGCUUAAUACAUGCAAGUCGAGGGGCAGCGCAGUGUAGCAAUACAUGGGCGGCGACCGGCAAACGGGUGCGGAACACGUACAGAACCUUCCUUCGAGCGGGGAAUAGCCCAGAGAAAUUUGGAUUAAUACCCCAUAGUAUAUUAGGGUGGCAUCACUUUGAUAUUAAAGAUUUAUCACUUGAAGAUGGCUGUGCGGCUGAUUAGGUAGUUGGCGGGGUAACGGCCCACCAGGCCUGCGAUCAGUAACUGGUGUGAGAGCACGACCAGUCACACGGGCACUGAGACACGGGCCCGACUCCUACGGGAGGCAGCAGUAAGGAAUAUUGGUCAAUGGACGAAAGUCUGAACCAGCCAUGCCGCGUGGAGGAUGAAGGUCCUCUGGAUUGUAAACUUCUUUUAUAUGGGACGAAAAAAGGGUUUUCUAACUCGUCUGACGGUACCAUAUGAAUAAGCACCGGCUAACUCCGUGCCAGCAGCCGCGGUAAUACGGAGGGUGCAAGCGUUAUCCGGAUUCACUGGGUUUAAAGGGUGCGUAGGUGGGUUGGUAAGUCAGUGGUGAAAUCCCCGAGCUUAACUUGGGAACUGCCAUUGAUACUAUCAGUCUUGAAUACCGUGGAGGUCAGCGGAAUAUGUCAUGUAGCGGUGAAAUGCUUAGAUAUGACAUAGAACACCAAUUGCGAAGGCAGCUGGCUACCCGAAUAUUGACACUGAGGCACGAAAGCGUGGGGAUCAAACAGGAUUAGAUACCCUGGUAGUCC